rnacentral:lncRNA from 1 species
AUACCUCAUAAUCUCAGAAAGCAGGCUACAGUUUGGACUGUGAGGCUGGUCUCAGUGAUGAUUAGGAGGCAGGACUGACUUUGACUCGGGAGAUGAAUGAAAACCAGAAGGCAAGGAGGAGGCAGAGUGGCCCAAGAAACUGUAUUACAAGGGGAGAGAAGCCUGGGUGUCGCUUUGAGAAGCAUCAGUGAGUCCACCCUGAAGACUACACAGAUGCAUGAAGGUGGAGCCUUCCCCUCAAAUCCUACAUGUGUCUGGAGCAUCAACUUUAGGCCAGUUAUUUCAAUGGAGUCUUAAUUUCACUCUGGCUUUUUUAGUCCAGAGAGAAAGAAGCAUUUGCUUCUGAAGUCAGGUUGGUUUUAUCCUGGUUGAAAGGCAGGUGUGCAUUUUGACCUAUUUUUAGUUGUAUGAGCAUUCAUUAAUGUAAAUCACAUCUGCAUUGGAUGCACCUGGUAUUUUUGCAGGAGCUAUGUCCCAACCCCCUCCUCAUCGCCACAGACACUUACACAGCAGUGACAGCGGUGCCCUGGCACU